UUUAAUCCUGGCUCAAGACGAAACCGCGGGCGGCCGUGCUUACCAACAUGCAAGUCGAGCGGGAGACUUUUACUGUAUUUUUUUGUAAAUUUUUAGCGGCGGACGGGUGAGUAACACGUGGGUACCCUGCCUCGAAAUGAAGAAUAGCCUUCCGAAAGGGAGAUUAAUACCUCAUAAUUAUUAAUUUUUCGCAUGAAAGAUUAAUUAAAGGAUUUAUUCGCUUCGAGAGGGACCCGCGGCGCAUUAGUUAGUUGGUGAGGUAAUGGCUCACCAAGACAAUGAUGCGUAGCCGACCUGAGAGGGUGAUCGGCCACAUUGGAACUGAGAUACGGUCCAAACUCCUACGGGAGGCAGCAGUGGGGAAUAUUGCACAAUGGGCGAAAGCCUGAUGCAGCAACGCCGCGUGAGUGAUGAAGGCUUUCGAGUCGUAAAGCUCUUUGAUCAGGGACGAUAAUGACGGUACCUGAAGAACAAGCCACGGCUAACUACGUGCCAGCAGCCGCGGUAAUACGUAGGUGGCGAGCGUUGUCCGGAAUUAUUGGGCGUAAAGGAUGCGUAGGUGGAUGUUUAAGUGGGAUGUGAAAUCCCUGGGCUCAACCCAGGAAUUGCAUUCCAAACUGGAUAUCUUGAGUAUAGUAGAGGAAAGCAGAAUUCCUAGUGUAGAGGUGAAAUUCGUAGAUAUUAGGAGGAAUACCAGUGGCGAAGGCGGCUUUCUGGACUAUAACUGACACUGAGGCAUGAAAGCGUGGGUAGCAAACAGGAUUAGAUACCCUGGUAGUCCGCGCCGUAAACGAUGGGUACUAGGUGUAGGAGGUAUCGACCCCUUCUGUGCCGUCGUUAACACCAAUAAGUACCC
rnacentral:rRNA from 1 species